rnacentral:rRNA from 1 species
CCUACGGGUGGCAGCAGCAAGGAGUUUUCCGCAAUGGGCGGAAGCCUGACGGAGCAACGCCGCGUGGGGGAUGACACCUUUCGGGGCGUAAACCCCUUUUCUUGGGGGACGAAGCAGUGACGGUACCCGAGGAGAAGGCCCGGCUAACUACGUGCCAGCAGCCGCGGUAAUACGUAGGGGCCGAGCGUUGUCCGGAGUUACUGGGCGUAAAGCGCGCGCAGGCGGCUGUCAAGCCUGACGUGAAAGCCCCCGGCUCAACCGGGGAGGGUCGUCGGGGACUGGGCAGCUUGAGGUCGGCAGGGGGCUGGUGGAAUUCCCGGUGUAGUGGUGAAAUGCGUAGAGAUCGGGAGGAACACCCGUGGCGAAGGCGGCCAGCUGGGCUGGACCUGACGCUGAGGCGCGAAGGCGUGGGGAGCGAACGGGAUUAGAUACCCCGGUAGUCCACGCAGUAAACGAUGCAGACUAGGCGUGGGGGGACUUGACCCCCUCCGUGCCGAAGCCAACGCGUGAAGUCUGCCGCCUGGGGAGUACGGCCGCAAGGCUA